ACCGACGGAGGCUUAUCAAGGAACCUUUCUUCUCAUGCCAGCCUUGCUCACACCCACGUCAACUCCAGCGCCACCUGCACGUCAUGUGACAUCAGCCGACAACUCAAUAAAAGGACGACUGAAACUGCACACGUUCAGUGGGCACGGCGGACCAGCUACGGGCAUGUGGCCUCACAAGCCAUUUCUCUGCUUUAUGCAGGUUAGUUAUUACUCUGCUUCGUUCAAGAGCGAUUACCGCUGCCUUUUGGUCUUGCCGUGCCCACGGCGUUGUGCUAGUAUGGCUUACGAAAUGUACUGUGCCUGCUUACUUCUAUUGUGUGGUGAUGUUGAGACAAAUCCAGGUCCCGACAUAGAAAAAAUGCUGCAAGAACUACUAGUAGGACAAACCAAAUUGGUUGAGGAUGUGGCGGCUCUUAGAACACAGCAAAACAACAUGGAAAAGAUUUUCCCCGAUUGGGGCCGUCGGUUCACUGAAUUAGAAAA